CAGACUCAGUGGAGUUAGUGCUACCGGAAACUCGUUUGUUCGUUGAAUCGAGUUUCCGGUGAACGAGAGAAACAAACCGGAUCGGUUCGUUCGUCCUUAAGACUCGUUCAUAGGAACCGGUUCGCGAACGAGCCAACACUACUGUUCAUUUAAGAAAAUGACAGCUCCGAAGAGACGCCGCUUGUUUAGUUUGGAGGAGACGGAAAAAUUGAGGAGACAUCCCUGUUGGUGGAUUAGAGGGACCCUGUGUGGAGCCAUUCCCCCAGGACAGAGCAGCCCCCAGCAGCUAGACUACUGACAGAGAAGCCCUCUUUUCCAGAGAGGAUUCAAUAAGACCUGGAAGGAGCAGCAUGUACUAUUCUUACAAAUAUACAGAUUGUAAGUCGCUUUCGAUAAAAGCGACUGCUAAUUGCCCUAAAUGUAUAUGUACUUUUGGACAGGCCUGGCUCUGUCUCUACAACUCUGCUUUACUGUCUUUAAGGUUUAAUUACGCAUGGGCACACACGCCACAAACGUGGUGUUAUUUCAAGUUGUGUACUGGGUUUUAGUGGUAUUGUCUUUGGUGUUAUUUGAAUCUUUGUGCUUGAAAAUGCACUUAAAAUGUCUUUGUUUAGGUAAAAUCACCCUUCAGUCGGUUUCCAGUUGGUGGUUUAAAAUGAAUGUGGUUAUAAUGUUUAUUAAAUAUAAAUGUUCUCCUUG